AGAAUCAACGCUGGCGGCGUGCCUAACACAUGCAAGUCGCACGAGAAAGGGGAGCAAUCCCUGAGUACAGUGGCGCACGGGUGAGUAACACGUGAAUAAUCUACCUCCGAGUGGGGAAUAACUGAGAGAAAUCUUAGCUAAUACCGCAUAACACUUACGAGUCAAAGCAGCAAUGCGCUUGGAGAGGAGUUCGCGGCAGAUUAGUUAGUUGGCGGGGUAAUGGCCCACCAAGACGAUGAUCUGUA
rnacentral:rRNA from 1 species